rnacentral:rRNA from 1 species
UACGUAGGGGCCUAGCGUUGUCCGGAAUUAUUGGGCGUAAAGAGCUCGUAGGCGGUUCGGCAAGUCGGAUGUGAAAUCUCCACGCUUAACGUGGAGGGGCCAUUCGAAACUGCUGUGACUCGAGUCCGGUAGGGGAGUGUGGAAUUCCCGGUGUAGUGGUGGAAUGCGUAGAGAUCGGGAGGAACACCAGUGGCGAAGGCGGCGAUCUGGGGACGGUACUGACGCUGAGACGCGAAAGCGUGGGGAGCGAACAGG